GUAUGACAAGGAUAUUUUUUCAAGCAGAGGGAUAUUUCCUUCGAGUACAUGCUGUCGCUUUCGCUCCUAUGGCUGUUUUGGUGCUGUCUCACCAUUACCGUGUCGGCACACGCGGUGCUCACCGCGAAUGCAACUGUGUGCGAUCGAGUUUAAGGCGCGAUGAAAAGUUCCCCAGAGUGAUGAAAAUGAAGAACAGGUUUUUCAUUGAAAAAUGCAUCAAGCACCGCUCAAAACAUUUUUAAAAACCAUGUUUAAUUAUUGAUAAUAUGUAACAUUACAUUUCAUUCGAUUUAAAACACUUUUUUGUGCAAUGUUUAGCAUUUUCGGGUGUGAUCAGCUAUCUAGGAACUUUUCAGGCAACCAUAGCCGAAGGCCGCGCGAGAAAGGGACGGCGAGAGUUCUCUCUCUCAGAUCUAACGAUCGUGAGGUUCGUGAAAGAGUCUCUCCGAGAAACGAAACUGUGUUUUUUUAACCACAAGUUUUUCCGUUAAUAAUACAUGAAAUACCGACCAAAACUAUGUUAAAACUAAUAUUGAGUUAAAAAGAACAUAUCACAUUGCAUUUUAUUGCAUUUCCAACACUUUUUCAUGCAAUGUUGAACAUUUUUAAGUGUUAUGUGAUUCCAACGAACUUUCGAGACAGCCCGAUCCGAAGGUGGCGAAAGAAAAGGAGGAAGAGAAAAUUGUGAAUCAGUUCUCUUCGGCCUUCAAGAUGGCCGGAGCGUCGGUGAUCGUGCGCUUGGUAAGUUUCAUAAAAAUACGCAUAAUUUUCGGAUAUUUGGUGGUUUCUUAUCUUUGCAGGCUUUUAUCACCCGCAGCAACGACGUCCGCGAGAUCGUGUAUGAUCUGAAGGAGUUGGCGCUCCGACAAGCAACGCGAAGGGCAGGCAGCAGAAGAGCGGAAAAGUGUUGCGUGUAAGUGCAGUGUUUCGUGAAGUGAUUAACAAAUGAAAAUUGUAUGUUAGAUUAAUGAAAACGCUUAUAAAUAAAGUUGGUGAAAUUGAAA